GACACGUGAAACCUUAUCACUAGUGUCUUGCUGCUGCUCCAGUAGUUGUCCAAUGCUUGUGGAGGUUGUAGCACUUUGCUCCUGUAGUUGAUGGACAGUUGUGUUGGUCUGGUUUUGCAUUUCCACUAUGCGUUCACAUGCUGCAGUUGUAUCUUGUUCACCUAUAUACAUGAUAAGAUAGGUACACAUAAACACUCUCUCACAUGCACACACAUGUGUAUGCACCCGUGU